GAAACGGGUGGUAAUGCCGGAUGCUCCAGUUGAUCGCAUGGUCUUCUGGGAAAGCUUUCGCGGUAUGGGAUGGGGUCGCGUCCUAUCAGCUUGACGGCGGGGUAACGGCCCACCGUGGCUUCGACGGGUAGCCGGCCUGAGAGGGCGACCGGCCACAUUGGGACUGAGAUACGGCCCAGACUCCUACGGGAGGCAGCAGUGGGGAAUAUUGCACAAUGGGCGCAAGCCUGAUGCAGCGACGCCGCGUGAGGGAUGGAGGCCUUCGGGUUGUAAACCUCUUUUAUCGGGGAGCAAGCGAGAGUGAGUUUACCCGUUGAAUAAGCACCGGCUAACUACGUGCCAGCAGCCGCGGUAAUACGUAGGGUGCAAGCGUUAUCCGGAAUUAUUGGGCGUAAAGGGCUCGUAGGCGGUUCGUCGCGUCCGGUGUGAAAGUCCAUCGCUUAACGGUGGAUCCGCGCCGGGUACGGGCGGGCUUGAGUGCGGUAGGGGAGACUGGAAUUCCCGGUGUAACGGUGGAAUGUGUAG
rnacentral:rRNA from 1 species